CCAGAGUCCCAGCGGCUCACUUACUGGCACUGGCAGAGGCCGAGGCACAGAGAAGGCCCAGGAGCAUGAAGGUCCACAUCGUGAGGCUGCAGGGGGAAGAAGAGAGCAGAGGGGGAGGUUCCUCCUUUCCCUCUGGCCUCCGGGUGGCCUGACCCUUCAGCUCCCACCUAGCCAGAUCCAGGCUCAAGGUGCACAGCACUGUCCACAGCCUGCAGUGUCAUCCUCCAGACCUGAUGUUCCAGGGUCCAACUGUCUCUGGCCCGCCCUUGGUCUGGCUGUAGCCACGCCCUCCUUUUCCCCUCCAAGCAGAAGGUCAGCGCUCCCUGUUGGGGUGCGCUGUGUCCUGACACAGCCAGGACGGGGACUUUCUGAAUUAGGACUGGAGGAUAGGCCUCAGCCUGGAGACGGCUGAAUUUCCUGAACCCAGCAUCAGAGCCAACACCGACAAGCUGGCCGCUGGAGUGCAGUAGGUGAGUCCUCCGCCCCUGGAGCCGCCAUCCCAUAUGGGCACCGGUUCAAGUCCCGUCUGCUCCACUUCCGAUCCAGCUCUCUGCUAGUGCCCUGGGAAGGUGGUGGAAGAUGGCCCAAGCACUUGGGACUCUACACCCCCUUGGGAGACCUGGAAGAAGCUCCAGGCUCCUGGCUCAGAUUGGCCCAGCUCUGGCCAUUGCGGCCAUGUGGGGGAGUGAUCCAGCAGAUGGGAUCUUUGUCACGAUUCUUUGUCCACCGACACACGCCUGGCCUUUCCCAGUCACCUGAGUGUCCCAGGUUCCUAGUCCUUCAACUGACAGCUGACACAUCUCUGCACCAAGAUAGCUUCAACCCAGGUGCCCACUUCACUAACACUCCCUGCCACUCAAUCCAGGCAUCCCCUUCCCCAGACCAGAUCAGAUCUGAAUCCCCACCCCCUCAAAGGCAGACCCAGGAAUCCCUAACACCUCUCACCUGGGAGCUUCAGGUGCAAGGUAACCCCUUAGAACCUUCCAGAACUUUUAUACCAGCUCCAAGCCCUCCCUCCUGCUCUUUAUCAAGGGAAGCUCACCUCCUGAGCAAACAAGGUCAACCUCUUGGGAUCAGGUGUUGGGCAGGGUCUGUCCCUCCUGGAAAGCUUAGGGAUGACAAGGUGGGGUCCACUCGGCUGAGUGCCAGAGCCCAGGAGGGGCAGGACAAGCUUGAGACAUGGUCACCGCAGCUUUUGAUGAAAUCAUUUUAUUUAUUAAGUGUGGGAAGGGAGAGAGAGAGAGAGCAAGGUCUUCAUCCACUGGUCACUCCCCACAUGGUUGCAAUGGCCAGAACUGAGCCGAUCCGAUGGAUCGCUAUGGAAGUUCCCCCAUCUGGGGAGAGAACCAUCACAUGGAAGACCUCUCUCUCUCUCUCUGUCUCUGCAUCCUUUUCUCUGUCUGUGUAACACUGACUUUAAAUAAAUAAAUAAAUGUUUAAAAACAGAAUUUUUCCCCCUCUUUCCUGAUAUUUUGAUACAAAAUAAAAAAAAACGAAGAAAAAAAAAAAGAAAAACAAGCAGGCAGUAAAGUUUGAAGAAUGGUAUGGCAAACACCCGUACAACCAUAUACCACUUUAUGGAUUCUAUCACAUCAUGGGGACUAUCUUAUAAAUUAGCAAGUCUAGCCAGCCAGCCAGCCUCAACCUGCCAGCCCCUUCUCAAACCAUCUGUCUCUGAGAAGGGUGACUUGGGCUGCAAGUUGCCCCCCUCCCAAGAGAUGUCAUUCCAGGGAGCAUGAGGGAAGCUGAGGCGCUGAGGGGGUGCAGGUGCUCCUUGGGGCAGGGUGGGGCUGGGCCCUGCCCCAGACUCUCAGACACCAUGGCAGAAAGGUCCUGGAGCCCUCCCCACCCUCGGGUCUGAGACUUCAGAGUGGGUGUCAGACUCCUUCGGCCCCGCGAGGGUGGAUCUUUCGGCCACCUCAAGCCCCGAGUCCUGUUGUCUGGCGUCUCCAGGACUGGUCCCUGUGACCCCUCUGAGUCAGCAGGUCUUCCAAGAAGACAGAAGCAUGGAGGCCAGGGAGGGUCUGGAGUAAGUAGCAUCGCUUAUCAGUGGCUCCUGACCCGUCGCUCAGGGCAUCCCACUCCCUCCCCUCCAGCUGACUCAUCAUCUGGGACUGGGGGCUCAGCCCAAAUGGCAAAGGGAGUCCCGCCCUCCAGAGCCGGAAGUAGGGCGGCGCACUUCCGGGAGCACAGGUACACCCAGGCCGGGAAUGCCAAGGUGUCUCCUCUCUUCUCCUUGGCCUUCAGGUAACCUUUGACGGAACUGUCACCUCACCCAGCCACUCGGCUUGGCCUUGUCCCUUGUCCUCUGUCUGCCUUUCACUGCUGAUUCUCUCCCUUGAUGCCUGCAGGAAACGCCCAGGACCCUUAAGACAGAGGCCCUGAAGGGGUCCCAGGGCCCGCCCGUCCUUUCCAAGAGUCCACAUUUGCCCUAGGUAGUGACUGAAGCACCAGCGCAGAGCCGGAAGGCGGUGGAACACCAAGCUCCCACCUGUCGAUCUGUUCACACUAGAAUUUGUAACACUAUUUAUUUAGGGCGCCGGCAUUGUGGCGUUGUGGGUAAAGCUGCUGGCGGCAAUGCCAGCACCCCGUGUAUGGGCACCAGUUCGUGUCCCGGCUGCUCCACUUCCAACCCAGCUCCCUACUAAUGCGCCUGGGAAAGAGGCAGAGGAUGGCCCAAGUGCUUGGACCCCAGCUCCCAUGUGGGAGACCCGGAUGAAGCUCCUGGAUCCUGGCUUUGGCCUGGUCCAGGCCUGUCCGUUGUGGUCAUCUGGAAAGUGAGGCCAGGAAUGGAAGAUCUUUCUCUCUUUUUCUCUUUUCUCUCUUGUGGGGAGCCAUUGCACCGCGCCCUAAAGAUGGCACCGGCUCCUUUCUCCCGGAAGGACUGGCGAGAAACAAACAACUCCUAAUAAGGAGAUGGCUGAGCUCCCUUCUGGCUUCCGCAUUGCUGUACCAAUCAAUCCUUGCCACUUGGCUGCUUUUGAUUGGUGUGCUGAUGGCUAUAAGAGGGAUGGGAGAGGGAAGGAGGAGGAAGAAGAAGCUUGUUCAAGGUUCCUGAAUAAACUGCUUGAAGAAGAGUUCGGGUUGUGUCUUCCUUGCUGGUCGAGGGACGCGACAACUGGUGGCCCGUACGGGGAACCAUCUCAAACGUGAACUCAGAACUUCCUGCAGUCAGGGCAGCGCUGGUAAGUCCCCCAGGAAAAUAAGGUGGGGAUCCGCGAUAAGAGUGGGCAGUCCUGCGACAAUAGCGGGAGGAUAGUUCUGUGACUAAAGCAGAGGAAGUUCUGCGACAAAAGCAGAAGGAGCUCUGACCCGUGGCCAGGGAAAGAGUACAAUUUUUGACGAUGGGUAAUUCACAGUCCCAUCCAAUUUUUCUGGCGCUGAAUGCGCUGCUUUGAGAAAACGGUUUGAAACUUAAGCCUAGUACAUUGCAUAGGUUUUUACGUAACUGCGAUACCAUUGCACCUUGGUAUGGGGUUUCGGGAAGCCUUACUAUCCCUUCAUGGGACAAACUAGGCAGGGAUUUGGAUUUUGCAUUCGAACAGGGUAAUCUCAAAAGGGGAGUGAGACCAAUAUGGAAGUUAGUGCGAGCAUGCCUCGAGGAUGAGCGGUAUAGUGAAGCUAUUCUGAGCGGUCAAGCUGCCUUGGAGGAGCUUCAGGAAGAGCGCUCCGAGAGAGCUGCCAGUGAAAAAGGGAAAACUUUGAAGGAGAGUCAGAAAAGAACUAGGAAAAAACUGUACCCCGAUCUUUCCGAGUUGCGCAGCCCCUCCUUAGUAAGUAGUACUAGUGCAGAAAGUAGCUCAGAAAGCAGCAGUGAGUCUGAAGAGUGUGGCGAUAACAAAGAGUCUGGUAUAAAGCAAGUACGGGAAUUGAAUCGGCAAAUGAGGAUUUCCAAAAAUUACAGCCACUGAGCCAUUACCAGGUGCUCCAAAUAUAUUUAUGGAUGGGUCAAAAACAGGCUGUGGGGUUUAUAUGGUAGAGGGUAAUGACCCGGUAUUUCAUCAGUUUCAGCCAGGCCCACCUCAAGUUGUGGAAUUAAAAAUAGUUAUUGAAGUCCUUAAGCAGUGCUCUUUUGCCUUUAACUUGUUGUCAGAUUCCUUAUAUGUGGUGAACGUAUUAAAGAUAUUGGAAACCUCAGGACCGAUUAAACCUUCUAACCCAAUUGCAUCCCUAACGUCAGGUGAUUGCUCAUUGUCUGGAUGCAUGGGCCGCCUGGGGGAGACCCCAGGUGUUAAAAACUGAUAUACAUCUCAAACCUUUACCACCUUUUGCCAAAAAAUGGAGGUUCAACUUGUCCAUGGAUUGCCAUACAAUCCUCAGGGUCAGGGCACAAUUGAGUGAGCACACCGCACACUGAAAGAAUAUCUUUUAAAACAAAAAGGGGGAUGCGACAGGCCAGGAGAAAGAGAGAGGAAAAAUUCCACAGGUAUCUUGACCUAGAGAAAAGUCUUAAUUCGAUAACCCUUUCCAACUUGAUGGGUUUUUCUCUUUACAGUUAAUAAAAACUUAAGCAAUGGGCUCAUACGCUGAUAAUCAAUUCUUUUCUGUGCUGCUGUAGCUAACUUAUCUAAUGAGAGUUUUCAUGUGUCUUGAAGGUUUCGCAUUUUUCUAUUGCCAGUAUGAGUCUUGAUUGGAAAAACUGCACCAUGAAGCUGUUCACAUUAUAUCUCUAAUGUUUGAGUGAUUACCUAACUUUGAUCAUAUCUAGUCCACAGCCUUGGUUAAACGUACUAAUUUUUGACUAAAAUGGUUUGACUCUCUGAUAGUUUAAAUUCUAAACCGAGUCUUUCAACUUUGGGGCUUCCAGUUGGAUCCCUGGAACUCUCAAAGGAUGGGACUCUAAAUUUGUUAAAGUAACAGCUGUUUGAGUCAAUUCAAAUUAUACAAAGUGUAUGAAAAUGUAGUAAAUGAUGUCAAAUCUAUGUUGUAUUCAUGUUUUUGCUUUUCAGCUAAAGUAGUCUUAUAAAAUGAGAGUAAAUUCUGUGUAUACAAGCCUUUAUGUUGUUAACUCAAGUAAGCCAAUACAGAUUGGUUCAGAAAAUUGGGUUAAUGCAAAUGCCCUUUGGUUCACUUGCUCAGUUUUACAUUUACAUGUCUUUGAUAUGCUUUAAACUUGUUUCUCUUAAGGAUGAAGAUCUUUUCAAAGUUGUAAAUAUGCACUAGUGACUGUUGCUGCCCAAGUGGUGUUAUCCUUAUGUUACUUAAAAGCAUGGAAAUGUAAUUUUGACUUUUAAUUCAGAUAAUGGUGUGGUAUUCAUUAAUAGCUCAGUGUUUUAAGUUAUCCAGGCAUCGGUGCUAAGUAAAAUAUGGAAAAUGUAUUAUGUGUACUUUUAACAUCUUAAAUUUGAUAAGAGAGACUUUUAAGUUUGCCAGCAUGUAUUCUCAUAGGUUGUCCAUACAUGAUAAUUCAAGACUGUAAAAGUAACUACAGGUAUAAAGUUUCAGAAGGUGUGAGCAAGUCAUGAAAAGUUGUAAAAAGUUUAUGAUUUUAAAACAUUGUUUACAGAAUUUUCUAUAAGUUAAAUGUUAAUGCCAAAAUUACACUAACCUAAAGUUGAAGUCUGAUCUUCUGUUAUAACAAUGGGAUUUUUUAAAAUGCGUACUAAUGUUAGUAAUUAUCUGGAAAUGGUCUCAAUUGUAAAUCUUAAAAUCUGUUGUUGCAAAAACUGCAACGUCUCUUUUUAACACUACUGUAUGUUAAGUUAUGAUUGAUAAAAAGUAUUAAGUCUUAAAAAGUUAUGUUAAAUAUUAUGAUCAGAUCUGGUCUAAAAGUGUUAAAAUCGCCCUGACUAAAUGUUAAGGAAUUCUAUUUUGACCAGAUACUCUAAGUUCUCUUGGCACCUUUAACAGACUUUCUGAAAAUCAAAGUUCUAAAUUCUCUGGACUUUUGGUAUCUCCAGAGGGCCCCUGGAGAUGUCAAAAGAGAUGUCUGUCAUCUUGCAGAGAUAAUAACCAAUCAGGCUGUUUAGAUUAAAAGUGGUGCCAAGAUGUGAAAUGAUGCUAAACUUCAGUUAUAAACGUGUUUCUUUCUAGCUGUUCCAGUCUCUGGCUCAGAAGCCAGAUCCUUUAAAGAAAGACUGACAAAGUCUAAGAAGCAUCCCAUGGUCAUGAUUUGCAUCACCUCAAUGUCCAAACCUUAAGCUUUGGCAGAUGGAUGUUACCCAUUUUUCUGAAUUUGGUAAACUAAAAUACAUGCAUGUCUCUUUAGAUACAUGUUCAGGUUUUGUUUUUGCCACCCCGCAAUGCGGCGAGGCUGCCAAACAUCUCUCAUUGCCUUCAGGCCUUUGCUGUUCUAGGAACCCCUAUACAGAUAAAAACUAAUAAUGGCCCAGCGUAUACUUCCAACUCUUUUAAGCACUUCUGUACUAACUUCCACAUCUCUCAUCACCGGGAUUCCUUAUAAUCCCCAGGGACAAGGUAUUGUGGAACGAGCACAUGCCACAUUAAAUUAUUUACAAAAAAUAGAAAAGGGGGAAUACGGGACCAUGGCAUAUUCCCCACAAAAAUGACUAUCACAUGCUCUUUUCAUUUUAAAUUUCCUAAUACUGGAUAAUCAAGGGAAAACUGCAGCUGAUCGUCACUGGCAUCCUGAAACCAAAAGACAACAAGUCUAUGAAGUGGAAAGACCCUCUAACUGCUCAAUGGUAUGGACCUGACCCUGUUUUAAUAUGGGGACGUGGACAUGUUUCUAUAUUCUCGAUGGUUACCUGAGCGACUGGUGCGGCAAACAGACAAUGUCACAAAGCAGCCCCUCGAUCUUCAUUAUAACAUUGCUGAUUGGGAUCGUUACUGCAGCCGUUAUAACCGCCAUUUCCAUUGCAGCUGUGGGCGCUACAACAGCUGCUAUAGCGCUCACAGGGACAGUUCAAACUGCUAAUACCCUGAAUAAUUUAACGGCCUCCGUGGCUGCUGCUUUGGAUACUCAGACAUCCUUAAAUGCACAAAUAAAGGGAGGCUUGAUGAUUGUUAAUCAGCGUGUGGAUUUGGUACAGGAGCAGGUGGAUACUCUCUGGCAGCUUGCUCAGCUAGGAUGUGAGUAGAAAUUUUCAGGGUUGUGUGACCUCUGUUCAGUACGAUAACAUGACUCAGGCAGCAAAUUACUCUAAACAGUUGUCUCAGAUGCUCUUGCAGAAUUGGUCCGCAGAAUUUGACUACACCUUGAAGCAACUGUGCCUUGCCAUGGUCACCAUCAACUCCACAUGUGUGGAUGUCUCCUUCGCAUCUGGAUUGUCAUCCUGGAUCUGCACAGCUGUCUCCAACCUGAAGGAGUGGGCGGGACUUGGAGUUUUGACGGGGUUGCUGUUACUUGUUGUGUUAUUUUGCCUGUGGUGUUUGUGCAGGAUGAGGACAGCUCAUCGGCGGGAAUUGGCCAUGAUAGCUCAAGCCUUUUAUGCCCUUGAGGCUGGACAAUCGCCGCAAGCAUGGCUGGCCUUCCUUGAAUGCUAGGCAUGGGUGCAGGGUGCGAGGCAAAGCACUGCAGAGGGAACGAGCCAUCACGUUCUCUGGAAGGCAAGUCUGUCUGCAUGUGGGUUGGCAUCCCAGAUCCCACCCCCGCGAAAAGGAUGCUGUUCCAGGUGGAUGCCUGGCAGUGGGGGACAGACCCCUACCUUCUCCUGUAAUCCUUAGAUGCCUGGUUCUAAAACAAAAAGGGGGAACUGUGGGGAGCCAUUGCACCGCGCCCUAAAGAUGGCGCCGGCUCCUUUCUCCCGGAAGGACUGGCGAGAAACAAACAACUCCUAAUAAGGAGAUGGCUGAGCUCCCUUCUGGCUUCCGCAUUGCUGUACCAAUCAAUCCUUGCCACUUGGCUGCUUUUGAUUGGUGUGCUGAUGGCUAUAAGAGGGAUGGGAGAGACAAGGAGGCGGAAGAAGAAGCUUGUUCAAGGUUCCUGAAUAUACUGCUUGAAGAA